rnacentral:sRNA from 1 species
UUUUAGCCCCGAUAGAAGUGAAAAUCCUUUUUUGCCGGUGUUCGGCAUAAAAGAUUGUAACGGAUAGCGGGAAAUGGC